rnacentral:rRNA from 1 species
UACGGAGGGUGCAAGCGUUAUCCGGAUUCACUGGGUUUAAAGGGUGCGUAGGCGGACACUUAAGUCCGUGGUGAAAUCUCUGGGCUUAACCCAGAAACUGCCAUGGAUACUAUUUGUCUUGAAUGUUGUGGAGGUUAGCGGGAUAUGUCAUGUAGCGGUGAAAUGCAUAGAUAUGACAUAGAACACCAAUUGCGAAGGCAGCUGGCUACACAAAUAUUGACGCUGAGGCACGAAAGCGUGGGGAUCAAACAGG